UCUUGAGAGAAGGCAUAUACCAUCAAUGCCUUGGUAAGGAUCCAAAAAUACCACAAAAGAGAGACCUGAGAGAAUCAUACAAGGAAUUUCUGAGUUUUAUUUGAAAAUCUGCAAAAAACCCCAGAGCUAUAGCUGAUCAAGAAUAAGAGACAUGGCACUUGGCUAGACUGUUCUAUCUUUUAACCACUCAAGACAGAAGUGACAGUUACAAGUCCCAUGGUGUAGGUAAAGUAAGUAAGUUUUAAGUCUUGACAGUUUACUCUAACUCAGAGAUG
rnacentral:lncRNA from 1 species